AUUCUUGCGUGUUCUGUAAUUCACCUUCUUUCUCCACACUACAGCCACUCUAGUGCCUACCAAAAGAACGGGAAGAUUUGGCAAAAAUGGCAGCACUGAAGGCAGAGGUACAAACCAAAGAUAUGAUGAUAACUUAGAUGAAAGACUGAAGAUAUGAAGCUCGUGUGAAAGAAUUUAAAUGUGAUGAAUCAUCCUUAGCAGUGAUCAAUAAAUGUAAGUCAAACUUCAAACAUUUUCUGCUCUUCAGAGGAAGAUUCUAGUUUUGUCUCUGAAUCUGGCCUUUCAGAAGGUAAAAUAACACAGUAUUUUUGCAAUUCAUACUGAGAAUUGUUGCUUGGAAAAACAGUGGAUUUUUUAUUGUUUGUAACACACUUACUGAAGUUUGUUAUUAAAUGAAUAUUAAAGCAUAUAUUGUGUUAUCCGCUUCCUCUCAGCUUCAGUAACUUGCAGAUACCAGUUUUUACCUCAGUGUCCCUAAACG